ACGAACGCUGGCGGCAUGCCUAACACAUGCAAGUCGAACGAGGUGCGGGACUUCGGUUCUGUUACCUAGUGGCGGACGGGUGAGUAACACGUGGGAACCUGCCCAGUAGUACGGAAUAACCACGGGAAACUGUGGCUAAUACCGUAUACGCCCCCCUUUGGAGACAUUGGGGGGGAAAGAUUUAUCGCUAUUGGAUGGGCCCGCGUCGGAUUAGCUAGUUGGUGGGGUAACGGCCUACCAAGGCGACGAUCCGUAGCUGGUCUGAGAGGACGAUCAGCCACACUGGGACUGAGACACGGCCCAGACUCCUACGGGAGGCAGCAGUGGGGAAUAUUGGACAAUGGGGGAAACCCUGAUCCAGCAAUGCCGCGUGAGUGAAGAAGGCCUUAGGGUUGUAAAGCUCUUUCAGCGGGGAAGAUGAUGACGGUACCCGCAGAAGAAGCCCCGGCUAACUCCGU
rnacentral:rRNA from 1 species